GUUCUCGAGAAGAGCAGCUUACGCAAUAUUACUUUGACAUGUUUUCAUCCAAGAUUCUCACCUUCACCUUUCUCGCUGUCGCUAUGCUACUCGCCUAUGAAUUUCAUAUGGCCUUUGCACCGGCUUGUGAUCACACUCAGGUGUGCCACAACGCAAGCGAUCCUACACCGGACUGCGGACCUGGUUGUCAGUGUGUUUACAGGGGCAACGAUACGGCUAGCGGGGCAAAACUAAUGUAUUGCUCUGGUUGAGAGAAUGCAAAUCUCUAAUAAAGUAUUGUGCAG